CAUGCCUUACACAUGCAGGUCGAACGGCAGCGCGGGGCAACCUGGCGGCGAGUGGCGAACGGGUGAGUAAUAUAUCGGAACGUACCCUGGAGUGGGGGAUAACGUAGCGAAAGUUACGCUAAUACCGCAUACGAUCUAAGGAUGAAAGUGGGGGAUUCGCAAGAACCUCAUGCUCCUGGAGCGGCCGAUAUCUGAUUAGCUAGUUGGUAGGGUAAAAGCCUACCAAGGCAUCGAUCAGUAGCUGGUCUGAGAGGACGACCAGCCACACUGGAACUGAGACACGGUCCAGACUCCUACGGGAGGCAGCAGUGGGGAAUUUUGGACAAUGGGCGCAAGCCUGAUCCAGCAAUGCCGCGUGAGUGAAGAAGGCCUUCGGGUUGUAAAGCUCUUUUGUCAGGGAAGAAACGGGUUUUUCUAAUACAGAGAUCUAAUGACGGUACCUGAAGAAUAAGCACCGGCUAACUACGUGCCAGCAGCCGCGGUAAUACGUAGGGUGCAAGCGUUAAUCGGAAUUACUGGGCGUAAAGCGUGCGCAGGCGGUUUUGUAAGACUGUCGUGAAAUCCCCGGGCUCAACCUGGGAAUGGCGAUGGUGACUGCAAGGCUAGAGUUUGGCAGAGGGGGGUAGAAUUCCACGUGUAGCAGUGAAAUGCGUAGAUAUGUGGAGGAACACCGAUGGCGAAGGCAGCCCCCUGGGUC
rnacentral:rRNA from 1 species